rnacentral:ncRNA from 1 species
GUUGGGUCACAAGCUGACACCGGACGAGGCGCACCGUACCCGGCCAGCGACAAGACGGCGCGAU